rnacentral:rRNA from 1 species
AACGAACGCUGGCGGCAUGCCUAACACAUGCAAGUCGAACGAGACCUUCGGGUCUAGUGGCGCACGGGUGCGUAACGCGUGGGAACCUGCCCUUAGGUUCGGAAUAACUCCCCGAAAGGGGUGCUAAUACCGGAUAAUGUCUUCGGACCAAAGAUUUAUCGCCUUUGGAUGGGCCCGCGUUGGAUUAGCUAGUUGGUAGGGUAAAAGCCUACCAAGGCGACGAUCCAUAGCUGGUCUGAGAGGAUGAUCAGCCACACUGGGACUGGGACACGGCCCAGACCCCUACGGGAGGCAGCAGUGGGGAAUAUUGGGCAAGGGGCGGAAGCCUGAUCCGGCCAUGCCGGGGGAGUGAGGAAGGGCUUAGGGUUGUAAAGCUCCUUUACCCGGGAUGAUAAUGACAGUACCGGGAGAAUAAGCUCCGGCUAACUCCGUG